GGUGAACGCUAGCUACAGGCUUAACACAUGCCAGUCGAGGGGAAACGUCAUCGAAUUCUUGCUUUUGAUGGGCGUCGACCUGCGCACGUGUGAGUAACGCGUAUCCAACCUGCCCAUCACUUGGGUAUAACCUUGCGAAAGUAAUACUAAUACCCAACGACAUCCCACUAAUACAUCUGAAUGGUAUUAAAGUUUUAUCUGUUAUUGAUGGUGAUGCGUCUGAUUAGCUUGUUGUCGUGGUAACUGCCCACCAAGGCAACGAUCAGUAGGGGUUCUGAGAGGAAGGAAAAAGACAAGGGAACUGAGACACGGACGAAAAUGCUACGGGAGGCAGCAGUGAGGAAUAUUGGUGAAGGGGAGAGAGCAUGAAACAGCCAAGUAGCGUGCAGGAUGACGGGCAUAUGGGUUGUAAACUGCUUUUAUAAGGGAAAAAAGUGGGUAACGUGAGACUUUUUGAAUGUACCUAAUGAAUAAGGACCGGCUAAUUCCGUG
rnacentral:rRNA from 1 species